rnacentral:rRNA from 1 species
AGAGUUUGAUCCUGGCUCAGAACGAACGCUGGCAGCGUGGAUUAGGCAUGCAAGUCGAACGUGAAGCCGUUGAUCAAUCUUUCGAGAGAGUGAUUCGGUGGAAAGUGGCGGAAGGGGGAGUAACGCGUGGGGAAUCUAUCCUUAAGUUGGGGAUAACUUCGCGAAAGCGAGGCUAAUACCGAAUGUGGUCCCCUGUCGCAUGGCAGGGAGAUUGAAGGCGGGGAAUCUUAGGAACCUGCCGCUUCGGGAGGAGCCCGCGUGCCAUCAGCUUGUUGGUAAGGUAACGGCUUACCAAGGCUUACGGCUAGCCGGCCUGAGAGGGUGAUCGGCCACACUGGGACUGAGACACUGCCCAGACUCCUAUGGGAGGCUGCAGUCGAGGAUCAUUCGCAAUGCGCGAAAGCGUGACGAUGCGACGCUGCGUGGAGGAUGAAGGCCUUCGGGUUGUAAACUCCUGUCAUUCGGGAAAAAUGGUCCUUGUGUUAAUAGCACUUGGAUUUGAUGGUACCGGAAGAGGAAGCCACGGCUAACUCUGUGCCAGCAGCCGCGGUAAUACAGAGGUGGCAAGCGUUGUUCGGAUUUACUGGGCGUAAAGCGUGCGUAGGCGGCGUUGUGUGUCGGGUGUGAAAGCCCGCUGCUCAACAGCGGAAUGACGUCUGAAACUGCGGGACUAGAGUGCAGGAGGGGAGAGCGGAAUUCUUGGUGUAGCGGUGAAAUGCGUUGAUAUCAAGAAGAACACCGGCGGCGAAGGCGGCUCACUGGAAUGUUACUGACACUGAGGCACGAAAGUUGGGGGAGCGAACAGGAUUAGAUACCCUGGUAGUCCCAACCGUAAACGGUGUGAACUUGGUGUGGGGGGUAUUGAUCCCCCCCCGUGCCGGAGCUAACGCGUUAAGUUCACCGCCUGGGGAGUACGACCGCAAGGUUAAAACUCAAAGAAAUUGACGGGGGCCCGCACAAGCGGAGGAGCAUGUGGCUUAAUUCGAUGCAACGCGAAGAACCUUACCAGGGCUUGACAUAUACCUGCAAGCCUGUCGAAAGGCGGAUUCCUUUGAGGGUGCUGCACAGGUGCUGCAUGGCUGUCGUCAGUUCGUGCCGUGAGGUGUUGGGUUAAGUCCCGCAACGAACGCAACCCCUGUGGUUAGUUGCUAUCGACGGUGAUGAGCCGUCGAGCACUCUAGCCAGACUGCCCGUACAAGCGGGAGGAAGGUGGGGACGACGUCAAGUCAGUAUGGCCCUUACGCCCUGGGCUGCACACGUGCUACAAUGGUCGGUACAGUGGGAUGCAAUACCGCGAGGUGGAGCAAAUCCAGAAAGCCGGCCCCAGUUCGGAUUGGAGUCUGCAACUCGACUCCAUGAAGUUGGAUUCGCUAGUAACGGCGUAUCAGCUACGACGCCGUGAAUACGUUCCCGGGCCUUGUACACACCGCCCGUCACAUCAUGAAAGCCGUCUGCACCCGAAGUCACUGAGCCAACUUUGAGCUUUGCGAAGGGGGGAAGGCGCCGAAGGUGUGGGUGGUGAUUGGGAUGAAGUCGUAACAAGGUAACC